GCGAGGUAACGUCAAAAUAACUUGAAAAUUUGCAGACGUAUCAAUGACUCAUCAUAAUGUAAUCAUUUCGCUACUUUAGUCUAUUAUCAUGACUUAAAAUCACCAGCUAAUAAAAAGAUAUGUUAAUUACACAGAUUAUGUACACACAAUCUAUGGGACGAUGACAGACAACUACAUAUAUGACCCACCUGAUGGUGAUUGAUAAUCGACGCACGUGGACGUCAGCAAUACCAGGUGCAGAGCUAAGCCGCUGCCUACCGCCGCUAGUGCUCUCCGCAAGCCUUCUUUGUAGACGGAACUAAUCUCAUUGUAAAAUAUGGUAUUUUACUUCGCUAGGAUGAAGAGUUCCGAGGACAUAACAAAUCAAAUAUAAACUUCUACAUAUGUGGGUAUUCCAAACUUAACGCAGAUGAAAUCACCGGAUAAAAAUGCACUUAUUAAUUAAUUUAUGUUACACAAAAAUGGAAAAAAUAACUUAAAUGAACAUUGGACCUAAAAAACUGUAUUAUUUCCCUUUGUAUAAAAACCGAAGAACUGUAAAUAGCUUUUAUUUGAAAAUUACAAAAACUUCUUAAAUGUUCCAUAA